CAAAGGACCUUGAUUAUCUACCUACCCACGAUCCCGACCCUAACCCGAUCCUUAAAAAAGAUACUGUCACUAAUAAGAUACGUUUACAUCGUUAAAAUAUUCAAUGAGUCAUACAAACAACUUUGGUCUCAAACAUCUUUGAUCUUUCCUACCACGAUACAAGGACAGGUUGACAGAAAAAAAGACUUACCAAACAAAUCUUGAACAAGGAUCGUCUAAACUUUUAAGACCUCUACUCUAACGUCGUCAUGUGGGAUAGGGGACUACCUCUUUUCCUCGGAUCGCUUCUUAUAACCCGAACUCGACCUUACACUCCACGAAAGUGUGGAAUCCCUACAUCGUGAGAGACCACGAGUGUGAGAGCCCCCUUCUCUAGCAGACCUCUCGAACCAUAAGCUGAUGCGAAACGGUUUACUAGGAGACUUCAAACUAUUGAGGAUGAAAUAUACAACCGUCCUGCGCAAGAAAUCUCUAAUGCGACUAAGCGUGUUCUUCGAAAGCCUCGAGAUGAAAUGACCGUACCUGUACGUCUCUGCUUCGGUUCUCCCGACACUCCUCUUGAUGGUGACAGAAACGUCAACGCCAACGGCAGUAGUGGACGCGAAUGUAUACAACUAGGUUCUCCUGCGAGUUACACUACUCCUACGUCUACAUGAUAGGUACGUUCGACAAUGACCCGGCCGGGUCAAACCCGAGGGACGUCCACUCGGCGGCACACGUAGCCGCAGCUACGCCCGCCGUGUGUCGGCGCGGCGAGGGGCACGGCCGGCCUCUGAGGGAGGCGGCGGCACGGGUCCUGGAUGUUCUUUACACCGGCGAAAGGCGAGAGGGGGAAGCCAGAGAGUAACCUACCUAAAGCCAGCGCAGUGGGGCCACCUCACAUCCCAGUCAAGCCCCAGCCACCCGUUACCUCUCCUCCGCCGGUGGCACUCUCCUCCCCCUCGUGCCCCAAGCGCGUAGCCGCGUAGAGGCAGCGAGGGGUGCGGCAUAUUCUCAUGUUGUCGCCGCCCGCCAUCGCCUCCCCUGCGGCCGGCCGAGGAGACU
rnacentral:rRNA from 1 species